rnacentral:lncRNA from 1 species
GUCGUGGUGAGGUCUUCAAGAUCGUGAAGAGCGUGGCCAUCUUUGAACAUGUUCAAAACAAUCGUGGUGCGGUCGUGGCGAAAUCAGGUCGUAGACGAAGCGUAGUGAGAGCGCACUAAGGUCGUAGUAAGAUCGCAAAGGUCGCUGUACAACCGUAGCGAGAGCGUAGCGAAAGCGUGAUUAUAUUCGGAGAGACUGCGCUACGAUCGCACAGCGACGUUAUCACGACCUCACUACGACCAUCACGUUCUCACUGCGACCCAACUACGCUUCCACUACGACUAUACCAUGCUGUUCACGACCAUAGUACGAUUCUAGCACGCCCUUGUCGUCCUCGUCACGCUCUUCUUACGACCUGACUACGUUCACACUACGACCAUCAUUCUCAUUGCCAUUUUCACAUAAAAUAUAUAAAAAAGCUCCCUAGAUUUUGUUUGUUUGAAUGUAAUUAUCCAUUUGCUCUAACGGCUCAACCAUGCUUCUCGUUUUUAUAUAGAUUAGACCGUUGGUUUUCGCGUUUAAAUGGUUUAACACUAGUAAUAUUUUGGGUCCUUUAUAGCGUGCUGAUUGAUGUGAGCCAAGGCUCCGUGUUGAAGGCCGUACCUUGGCCUAUAAUGGUUUACUUUUAUAAAUUGUUACUUGGAUGGAGAGUUGUCUCAUUGGCACUCAUACCACAUCUUCCUAUAUAAAUUGAUACAUCUAUGUCAUCUCUGCUAUCGUUCAC